rnacentral:rRNA from 1 species
CCUACGGGAGGCAGCAGUGGGGAAUAUUUGGCAAUGGGCGCAAGCCUGACCCAGCAACGCCGCGUGAAGGAAGAAGGCUUUCGGGUUGUAAACUUCUUUUGUCAGGGACGAAGCAAGUGACGGUACCUGACGAAUAAGUCACGGCUAACUACGUGCCAGCAGCCGCGGUAAUACGUAGGUGGCAAACGUUAUCCGGAUUUAUUGGGUGUAAAGGUCGUGUAGGCGGGAAUGCAAGUCAGAUGUGAAAACUAUGGGCUCAACCCAUAGCCUGCAUUUGAUACUGUAUUUCGUGAGUGCUUAAGAGGCGAUCGGAAUUUCGUGUGUAGCCGUGACAUGCGUAGAUAUACGGAGGAACACCAGUGGCGAAGGCGGAUUGCUGGACCGUAAAUGACGCUGAGGCGCGAAAGCGUGGGGAGCAAACAGGAUUAGAUACCCCUGUAGUC